UCAAAGGGUGACAGAUUGUCCGGAGCGGGUGACAAGUUUACUCGGACGAAGAAGUCAAGCUGUCUCUCCAUUCUUAAAAGUACCAUCUUUAAACCCUUUUAGUGUACACUACAAAACCGUGUGUGCACUCCAUUGAGCAACGCUACGAAACUAAAAAGCUCCUUUUUAAUCUCAGGUGUGUAGACAGCUGUGUCGGUCAUUGUAUCGCUCGCAUUCUAUGUUCUCUACUAAUUACGUAAGUAGCGUUACGCGCUUGUAGUAGAUCUCAAAACAACUUCUACAAACACGUUUUAAUCUAUUGCUUAAAUCAAGUGAAACGGUUGUAAAUAAGUUGAAGACGAGAUUAAAGGACAACGAAGGCGGCAGGGAUCGGUUGAGAUGAAGAUGACAACCUUUAUGGACAUUAAUAACGCAAGUGCUGAUGGGAAAAUCACGGACAUCUGCGAAGACGAAGUUAGCUUGCAGUCAUCGGACGGAUCUUUCAUAGAAACACACGCAUUUGUUUUUAACUUUGGCUGCCAGCAAGUCUGAUGACUUUACCCAGAAGAUUAAAGACGUAGACAUGGAGGAAGGGGGCCGAAAGACAGUCAUCUUGUCCAAUAAGAGGAAAGAGCACUGAAGAAUGUGAAAAUCUCCCAUUCAGUCCAGUUCACAGAGGCUGGGAGCGGCCACAUCCUUUAGGAACGAGGAGGGGUCGCAGCUUCGGGAGGGUAGAUAGGGAUUUUGGACAGGAGCCAGAAGCGACGCAGAGGCUCCUCAUAUGACGGCGUUCCGUGGGAGCGUCCAGUUCCCCCUCCUCUUUGUUGUCCCAUAGGACAUAGACUCUAGAAUCUCAUUGCCUUCGGUUUACUCCCACAAACAAACUCUCCCAGCACUCCUUCUACCCCAUGAGUGGAACCAGUCAGUAGGCGGCACAUUGAGGAAUGCGUUUCUAUUAAUAGAGAGGUAGCAGUGGAACAGGAAGAUGAAACAAGCAAAUUGGCCUCCAGGGACACCCCAGACACACACUCCCAUCUGACACAGCAGAAGGCAAAGCAGCGGACCCCUCUGAUAUAUCCUUCAGCUCCAUAUCAGCAUUUCUGUGCCCAUCUGCUUUUUUUAUCAUGUUCUCUUCAGCAUGCUACUCACAUCCAGGACACAAUGUGGAUGAUGUUUUGAAUAAAAUAUCUAAAACAAACAAUGGCGCGCGGUUUCAAAUCAACACAUGACACGAAAUGAGGAUUUGAAUAGGUGGUAGUAAUGCAGCGUUCAAAAAAACAUGAAUUGAGAAAACGGAUGAUCCAUAAAUAUUGCUCACCCGCCAUGAAACUGGAUAUUGGAUUAUUAAAAAAAUACAUUUUUGUUUCUUUGACUAUGGAAUUAUUUUGCUCUUUUUCUGUUUGUAACAGUGAUGAGCCAGGCACAGUCUCUCCAUGAAUCCUCCACUUGUCACAACAUGAAGACGUUGCGCCUCAUAUUUUUGCUUCGGUGGCUUUUUUAAUACUGUAUGUGUCACUACAUGGUGUUCUGGAGAAAAAUAAGCUUUUUACCAUCCUGGCUUGCACUGUGAAAAACAGGGAUCUUAACAGGGGCUCCAUGAGCCUUUGGUGGUCAGGGUCAGGGUGUAAUUAAUGUUUGAUCUGAAAUAAUAAAAAAUUAAGUUGCUUAC